UCUUAGCAACCGGAUUUGGUCCUAGUCCUUCUCUUGGUCUUUUCUAAAACGAUACAUGCAAGUCAAUUACAACACAGUGAGUAUAGUUUAAAGCUACUCUUAAAAGAAAUAGCUCCACCAAAACAAAGCAUCAGAAAAUACCUCAAUUCGACGACGCCUAGCCAACCACAUCUGCAGUACCUAACAUUAUACAAUAAGCAAAAGCUUGAUAUAGUUAUAGAAUUAAGAGUUGGUUAAUUAUGUGCCAGCCACCGCGGUUAUACAUAAAACUCAAACCAAGAAAACUGCCGGUCUAAAGGUGACUAGAGAAAAUACUACUUAGGGUAGAAAAAAACUCCAGUAUUAAUAAGCUUCUACAGUAAACUAAUCACAACUACAAUGACCACCCUAAACUUUUCUAACUCAAAACACCAAAGCUCAAAAAUAAACUGGGAUUAGAUACCCCACUAUAUGAGCCGUAAAAAAUCAAUAACACCAGAGAA
rnacentral:rRNA from 1 species